rnacentral:rRNA from 1 species
AACGAACGCUGGCGGCAUGCCUAACACAUGCAAGUCGAACGAAGGCUUCGGCCUUAGUGGCGCACGGGUGCGUAACACGUGGGAAUCUGCCCUUUGCUUCGGAAUAACAGUUAGAAAUGACUGCUAAUACCGAAUAAUGUCGCAAGACCAAAGAUUUAUCGGCAAAGGAUGAGCCCGCGUAGGAUUAGCUAGUUGGUGGGGUAAAGGCUCACCAAGGCGACGAUCCUUAGCUGGUCUGAGAGGAUGAUCAGCCACACUGGGACUGAGACACGGCCCAGACUCCUACGGGAGGCAGCAGUGGGGAAUAUUGGACAAUGGGCGAAAGCCUGAUCCAGCAAUGCCGCGUGAGUGAUGAAGGCCUUAGGGUUGUAAAGCUCUUUUACCAGGGAUGAUAAUGACAGUACCUGGAGAAUAAGCUCCGGCUAACUCCGUGCCAGCAGCCGCCGUAAGAC